rnacentral:rRNA from 1 species
UGAGCAAUCUGCCCUUCUCAUCGGAAUAAGCGUGGGAAACCGCGUCUAAUGCCGAAUACGACCUCCUUUCGCAUGAUCGGAGGUGGAAAGCUCCGGCGGAGAAGGAUGAGCUCGCGGCCUAUCAGCUAGUUGGUGUGGGUAACGGCCCACCAAGGCGACGAGGGUAGCCGGCCUGAGAGGGUGACCGGCCACACUGGGACUGAGACACGGCCCAGACUCCUACGGAAGGNAG